rnacentral:rRNA from 1 species
UACGGAGGGGGCUAGCGUUGUUCGGAAUCACUGGGCGUAAAGCGUCUGUAGGUGGUUCGAAAAGUCCACUGUUAAAAAUUGAAGCUUAACUUCAAAGAUGCCGUGGAAACUUUCAAACUAGAGUGUGGUAGGGGUAGAGGGAAUUUCCAGUGGAGCGGUGAAAUGCGUAGAUAUUGGAAAGACCACCGAUGGCGAAGGCACUCUACUGGGCUAUUACUGACACUCAGAGACGAAAGCUAGGGGAGCAAAUGGG